rnacentral:rRNA from 1 species
UACGAAGGGGGCUAGCGUUGCUCGGAAUGACUGGGCGUAAAGGGCGCGUAGGCGGAUGGUACAGUCAGAUGUGAAAUUCCCGGGCUCAACCUGGGGGCUGCAUUUGAUACGUAUGAUCUUGAGUGGGGAAGAGGGUCGUGGAAUUCCCAGUGUAGAGGUGAAAUUCGUAGAUAUUGGGAAGAAUACCGGUGGCGAAGGCAGCCCACUGGUCCGGUACUGACGCUGAGGUGCGAAAGCGUGGGGAGCGAACAGG